rnacentral:rRNA from 1 species
AUGGCUACUUCUGUUUAUGGACCGCAAGAAAAUGAGGAUAAAGUCAGAUUUCUGGAGGAGAUUGUGGAAAUUGGGGGUCUGGUUCAACUGCCAUGGAUCCUGAAUGGUGACUUCAAUCUGGUGUGUGGAGAGGAAGAGCGAAGUACGAGAAGAAUCAAUAGAAGACUGGAAAAUAAAUUCAGACAUACGAUUAACACCUUGGGCCUGCAUGACAUGCCGUUGGUGGGGAGGAAAUUCACCUGGUGUAAUGAUCAGGAGCGCUCAGUAAUGGCAAGGUUGGACAAGGUGUUGUUCAACAGUGACUGGGAAGACACUUACCCCAUCAGUGACCUGUUACCGCUCAUCUCCAACAUAUCAGACCACUGCCCCCUUCUUCUGACUUGCUCUAUGGAUAGGCCAAGACAGCGUCGCUUUCGUUUUGAAAAAUUUUGGGUUAAGCUGCCCGGUUUUAUGGAUACGGUGAAGAUAGCCUGGGGCGAGCAAGUCGCCAGUAAUGAUCCCAUCAAGAUUUUCAGUGUUAAACUGCAGCACACCGCAAAGGCUCUCAGAAGUUGGGGUCAAAGGAAACAUAGCUAUAUGACCACCCUCUUUCAGAUUGCAAAUGAGCUGAUUUUGCGUUUGGAUGGCGCACAAGAAAUUCGAUCUUUGUCGGAAGAGGAACACAAGCUAAAGGCUUUCUUCAAGGGCAAGUGCCUAGCUCUCGCUUCCCUGGAGAGAGUACGUCUCUGA